UACGUAGGGGGCUAGCGUUGUCCGGAAUCAUUGGGCGUAAAGAGCGUGUAGGCGGUCCGGUAAGUCCGCUGUGAAAGUCGGGGGCUCAACCCUCGAAUGCCGGUGGAUACUGUCGGGCUAGAGUGCGGAAGAGGCGAGUGGAAUUCCUGGUGUAGCGGUGAAAUGCGCAGAUAUCAGGAAGAACACCUAUGGCGAAAGCAGCUCUCUGGGACGGUACUGACGCUGAGACGCGAAAGCAUGGGGAGCGAACAGG
rnacentral:rRNA from 1 species